rfam:Populus trichocarpa scaffold_1_contig_224, whole genome shotgun sequence.
AGGACCCAAUUGUAAUGGAUCCUGUGUCAGGACCCAAUUCGCUUGGGUCCUUCGCCAGGACCCAAUGAUAAUGGGUCCUGCAUUAGGACCCAAUGCUAAUGGGUCCU